GAUGAAGAACGGAGCGAAAUGCGAUAAGUAAUGCGAAUUGCAGAAUUCCGUGAGUCAUCGAAUCUUUGAACGCACAUUGCGCCCUUUGGCAUUCCGAAGGGCAUGCCUGUUCGAGCGUCAUUUAUCAACCCUCAAGCCCGGCUUGCGGUUGGGUCCCGCCGUGGGCGACCACGGCGGACCCGAAAGGUAAUGGCGGUGCCCGUGGGGCCCUGGACGCAGCGAGCUUCUCGGCACGCGUCCCGGCGGUCCCCGGCGCCGUCUCCACCAAUCCACCACGCAGAUUGACCUCGGAUCAGGUAGGGAUACCCGCUGAACUUAAGCAUAUCAAUAAGCGGAGGA
rnacentral:misc_RNA from 1 species